rnacentral:rRNA from 1 species
GAGUUUGAUCCUGGCUCAGAUUGAACGCUAGCGGGAUGCCUUACACAUGCAAGUCGAACGGCAGCACGGACUUCGGUCUGGUGGCGAGUGGCGAACGGGUGAGUAAUGUAUCGGAACGUGCCUAGUAGCGGGGGAUAACUACGCGAAAGCGUAGCUAAUACCGCAUACGCCCUACGGGGGAAAGCAGGGGAUCGCAAGACCUUGCACUAUUAGAGCGGCCGAUAUCGGAUUAGCUAGUUGGUGGGGUAAAGGCUCACCAAGGCGACGAUCCGUAGCUGGUUUGAGAGGACGACCAGCCACACUGGGACUGAGACACGGCCCAGACUCCUACGGGAGGCAGCAGUGGGGAAUUUUGGACAAUGGGGGAAACCCUGAUCCAGCCAUCCCGCGUGUGCGAUGAAGGCCUUCGGGUUGUAAAGCACUUUUGGCAGGAAAGAAACGUCAUGGGUUAAUACCCCGUGAAACUGACGGUACCUGCAGAUAAGCACCGGCUAACUACGUGCCAGCAGCCGCGGUA